UACGUAGGGGGCAAGCGUUGUCCGGAUUUAUUGGGCGUAAAGAGCGUGUAGGCGGCCAAGCAGGUCAGCUGUGAAAACUCGAGGCUCAACCUCGAGACGUCGGUUGAAACCGCUUGGCUAGAGUCCGGAAGAGGAGAGUGGAAUUCCCGGUGUAGCGGUGAAAUGCGCAGAUAUCGGGAAGAACACCCGUGGCGAAGGCGGCUCUCUGGGACGGUACUGACGCUGAGACGCGAAAAGCGUGGGGAGCGAACAGG
rnacentral:rRNA from 1 species